AGCGAUAUGGUGUAAAGGUUGUCACAACAGCCUCAUGAGCUGUUAGAUCAGGUUCAAUUCCGGAUGUCGCUA